CCAAUUGGAGCCAACAGACGGAGCCAGCAUCCGAGGCUUUGACCUUAAGUUCUCCGUGUCCUACGCCACUCUGGAGGUUUUCCCAUUUAAAAUCAGCUGGCGCAGUUGUUAUUCAGUUAUUUUUCAGCAGAUGGUACAUUAUUUAGCUACCUGCACACUCUACGACGUACGACCUCUAUUCGACGAGACCCUCUCUGACCACAAGCUGAUAUGCCUCGAUCUCCUCCUCUUAGCAGCAGGUUGCCCCCUUCGGAUGCCAGAAAUACCUCUGGCGUGACCGUGGACACCGUUAUGACCACCAUCGCUUACCAGGAGGGUGACGCAUUCUUCUGACGGCCUUUCACUCCAGGAACCUGACCGGUUGACAACGCUAACUCUCGGCUCCUGCGCACGGGUUCAGGAGGGGCCAGGAGGGGUGCGUGUCAACAUAACCCCGAGCGCCCCUGAUUCCUAUCGCGUGAGGCUGUGUCGUUUGGCCUGGGCGACCUUUGGGUCCAGGCACUGCCAUAGCAAUCUGCCUUGCGUCCCACGCUGCUUUCUCCGCCUUUCCAGUCCGCUCUCCGUCGGCACCUCCUCCCCAUCCUCUCGGGAGGUCCAAGGGAUGUCUUCUUGGCUCAACUGUGGCAACCACUGGCUGCUACUGACAUGCUACUGGCCAUAGCCAUGAUGCCACUGCUGUGCCGCUAAGUCGACAACGUGGUGUCACGUCCGUUGCAGCAUGGACAAGUGAUCAACGGUGCACGCGCACGGAAAGUAUUGUGAGCAACCCCCCAUUCACACGCCGUCGAAUCAAACGCUGGGCUUAGAGACGCAGGACUAAUCGGAUUACCACGAGCCGAGUCGUACCACCACAGUCCUAUCAGACAGCAGGACAGAAGCGAACCCUUUGCAAGAUCCCAACCUAACAAGUCAUCGUCAUCCUUCGACCUGGCCAUCGACAACAAGUACUUUGACUAUGACAAUCAAGAGAGGAGCUACGCGGGCUACUAGACUCUAGAUAGAUUUCGUUGUUGUUAAGUUUAGGGAUAUACGCGUCCAUAUAUGUAUUUAGAUAGUAGAUACAAAUGUUUCCCACUUGUUUAUUUAUUUAUACUAAGCUAAGUAAUGACGAAUAAAACUAUUGAAAAAUCA